AUAGUAACAAACCUAAACCUAAUUCUCCUUUCUCUCAUUCCGCCGCCUGUAACCCUAGUUCCCAUUUCUCUCAUCCCGCCGCCUACUACCACUCAUUCCCUCAGGAGUGCCAUCAUUUUCACUCUCAAAAGAGAACAAAGCUUUCAGCGAUUUGUAAUCGGACAAAACUUGAUGGAGUGAAGGAAGAGUUACAGUCACAUAUCAACACGGUUGAUGGUGCUUCAGAUUGAUGCAUGAAGUGAAUCACAUUAUUUUGAAGAAAUUAAUAUUUUAUUUAUAAAUUUAAAUUGAUAUGUUGUUCUUUGUUGUUGAUGUAUGGUGUCAUGGUCAUGUUUCAUUUUACAAAGCUCAUUAGUAAGGUUAAAAUGGAACAAAAUAAAUUUGAAAGAUAAAAAUCAUUUUUAAAGUGA